GCAAGUCGAGCGGACAGAUGGGAGCUUGCUCCCUGAUGUUAGCGGCGGACGGGUGAGUAACACGUGGGUAACCUGCCUGUAAGACUGGGAUAACUCCGGGAAACCGGGGCUAAUACCGGAUGCUUGUUUGAACCGCAUGGUUCAAACAUAAAAGGUGGCUUCGGCUACCACUUACAGAUGGACCCGCGGCGCAUUAGCUAGUUGGUGAGGUAAUGGCUCACCAAGGCAACGAUGCGUAGCCGACCUGAGAGGGUGAUCGGCCACACUGGGACUGAGACACGGCCCAGACUCCUACGGGAGGCAGCAGUAGGGAAUCUUCCGCAAUGGACGAAAGUCUGACGGAGCAACGCCGCGUGAGUGAUGAAGGUUUUCGGAUCGUAAAGCUCUGUUGUUAGGGAAGAACAAGUGCCGUUCAAAUAGGGCGGCACCUUGACGGUACCUAACCAGAAAGCCACGGCUAACUACGUGCCAGCAGCCGCGGUAAUACGUAGGUGGCAAGCGUUGUCCGGAAUUAUUGGGCGUAAAGGGCUCGCAGGCGGUUUCUUAAGUCUGAUGUGAAAGCCCCCGGCUCAACCGGGGAGGGUCAUUGGAAACUGGGGAACUUGAGUGCAGAAGAGGAGAGUGGAAUUCCACGUGUAGCGGUGAAAUGCGUAGAGAUGUGGAGGAACACCAGUGGCGAAGGCGACUCUCUGGUCUGUAACUGACGCUGAGGAGCGAAAGCGUGGGGAGCGAACAGGAUUAGAUACCCUGGUAGUCCACGCCGUAAACGAUGAGUG
rnacentral:rRNA from 1 species